CCCUUGUCCUUAGUUACCAGCACGUUAUGGUGGGCACUCUAAGGAGACUGCCGGUGACAAACCGGAGGAAGGUGGGGAUGACGUCAAGUCAUCAUGGCCCUUACGGCCUGGGCUACACACGUGCUACAAUGGUCGGUACAGAGGGUUGCCAAGCCGCGAGGUGGAGCUAAUCCCAGAAAACCGAUCGUAGUCCGGAUCGCAGUCUGCAACUCGACUGCGUGAAGUCGGAAUCGCUAGUAAUCGCGAAUCAGAAUGUCGCGGUGAAUACGUU
rnacentral:rRNA from 1 species